CUCUUGCUGUGGAUGUGCGUUGCCUUGAUGCUAGGAUAGAAUCCACUUUAUGACACGCUGAUUCUAUCUACUUUUAGGCUAUCUAUUUUCAGAUUCUUGCAUGUGUUUCUCUCACGGUAGAAAUCGAAAGCAGUAAUCUGAUUCCUCUGGACUUUAUACUAUUUUUAGAUUAGAUUCUUGCAUGUGUUGAUGGAAUCAGUGGAUAGAUGAGUAGCAUUUACAAAGGGGAAUUUUGGUUUUAACAGCACUCCUAGAUAACAGAAUAAUUUUUCUUUCACGCAGCCUGAUGAUGGUACUAUAGAUUUCUUUAUUGCUUACAUCAAGUUUGCAAAAAAAAAAUGAAGAUGCCUGAUUUCUUUAUUUGCCAGAUUGCUUCACUUAAUUUUUUUCCAUUAGCUGUACUUAUAUCAUGUGUUAUUUUUUUAGGUUUGACAAGGAACUUAAUAAAGAGGUUGCUAUAGAACCCGUUGAUCUGAAAGAAGCAUGAGUCCCUAACAUGAAUUUUACCUUGUGUCUGUAUCACAGUUUCUCAAGUGGUGUUCCAUUAUGAAUAAUAAUUAUUUACAUAGAGUAUUAAGUGAUCUGUCAUGGGGGAUAAAAGACCAACUUGCGCUGCAUUUGGCGACAUAUCAAACAUCAUCGGAUGAGGUCUCAAUUGGGCAUUUGCACUGAGCCUCCAACUGCACGUUCAGAUAUGUCGUGUACAGUUCACUUGAUAUCCUAAGAAAGGAAAAAAGUUGUUGUUGCUCCAGCAAAGGUAACUACUAUUGGUAGAGGCUAAAGUCAUUAUAUAUCUGUAUAUAUUAUCUAUAGAGCCUGAGACUUGGAGGGCUUGAAUUAUUUAUAAGCUGUGGGUUGUGCUUGUUGUGGGUGGACACUUCUAAGUCUUGAGGAAACUUUUUCUGAAUGGCUGGAGAUUCAUCUCGAUCUACAAUAGUUUUUUCAGAUGGACUGCUCACUUGUAUUAACAAUUUCCAGUUCUAAUGGCUACUUGAUUUUAGCUAUAUGUCAGUGUUCAAAGAUGGAUUCUUAAAGUAUAGAUGGAACAUCAAAGUUUCUGAAAUCUGAAUUAUUCUGUAGCCAGGUGCUUCAAUGUGCGGCAGGAUAAAAUGGCUGUCACAGAAUUUAUCCUGCCACUUGGUUCUAGGCACUGCUGCACCUGCACAUCCAUGAUGUUCUUUUUUCUAAUUAGCAAAAACUGGUGACAUGAAUCUGUGUUGUAUUUUCUAUAAGGAACAAAGCUCUAGGAUGACAUAUGUAACGUCCAAAACUUGGAUGGUUCUAUUUUAGAGUGCGCAAACAAUUGGCUUGAGUUGAUAAUGAGUGUAAAGUACAGAGCUACCUCUAUACUAGCAAACAUCUUUAGGUAUUAAGUUUUGUCCUAAACAGAAAUAUUAUAUAUAAGCAAGUUUUUGCA